GGAUGUAGCUCAGGGGUAGAGCUCUUGCCUGGCGAGCGUGAGGCCCUGGGUUCAAUCCCCAGCACCA
rnacentral:tRNA from 1 species